AGUUACGAAGGUUUUAAAACCAAGGUUGUAAUUGUGUUCUCACUCUAGAACCCUUCAUUUGGUUUCUAGCAUCACUUCAUUUCCAUUGGAUUUUUAACAAACGAUUACCUUUAUUUUUAACAAACGAUUACCUUUAUUUUUAACAAAACUUGGUUACCAUUUUACUCUCACUAUGUUACUCUUCAUUUUGAAAUUGUCUUUCAUCCAUUUUGUCAUCAUUCUUUUAAGGAACAUGCAUUACCUUCGUUAUUAAUGGGUUUUCAUUUUGUUUGAUUUCCUUAAAAGAUGACAUUUUUUGUGUUCCAUUUUAGAGAUUACUAUAUUAUCUUUGUCUUUGAUGGCUUUCCAUUUUUUUUCCAUUUCCUUAAAAGAUGACAUUGUUUGUGUUCCAUUUUAUUUGUGAAAAUACAUCUGAAAUUUCAUCUUUACUAUGUAUCUUUGAUGAGGUUUCAUCUUUUGUGGGUAUCCUCCUUUUCAUUUAUAUUUAAAGAUCACUUAUCCAUGGAUUUACUUGGUCUUUUUUGGGUUUUCAUUUUCUGUGUAAAGUUAGGUUUUUUAAGGUAAAUAUAUCAUCACUUUUAUUUGCAAUCUUUUGCUAUUAACUUAUUUUUUCCCCUCUCUCACUCUCUCAACUUUAUAUUUCUC
rnacentral:lncRNA from 1 species